rnacentral:rRNA from 1 species
ACUCCUACGGGAGGCAGCAGUGGGAAUAUUGCACAAUGGGCGCAAGCCUGAUGCAGCCAUGCCGCGUGUGUGAAGAAGGCCUUCGGGUUGUAAAGCACUUUCAGUUGUGAGGAAAGGUUAGUCGCUAAUAUCCGGCUAGCAUUGUGACGUUAGCAACAGAAGAAGCACCGGCUAACUCCGUGCCAGCAGCCGCGGUAAUACGGAGGGUGCGAGCGUUAAUCGGAAUUACUGGGCGUAAAGCGCGUGUAGGUGGCUUGAUUAAGCCAGAUGUGAAAGCCCC